GAAAUGCGAUAAGUAAUGUGAAUCGCAGAAUUCAGUGAAUCAUCGAAUCUUUGAACGCACCUUGCGCUCCUUGGUAUUCCUUGGAGCAUGCCUGUUUGAGUAUCAUGAAAUCUUCAAAGUAAAUCUUUUGUUAACUCAAUUGGUUUCUACUUUGGUAUUGGAGGUCUUUGCAGCUUCACACCUGCUCCUCUUUGUUCAUUAGCUGGAUCUCAGUGUUAUGCUUGGUUCCACUCGGCGUGAUAAGUUAUCUAUCGCUGAGGACACUGUAAAAGGUGGCCAAGGUAAAUGCAGAUGAACCGCUUCUAAUAGUCCAUUGACUUGGACAAUACUUUUAUGAUCUGAUCUCAAAUCAGGUAGGACUACCCGCUGAACUUAAGC
rnacentral:misc_RNA from 1 species